rnacentral:rRNA from 1 species
GACGAACGCUGGCGGCGUGCUUAACACAUGCAAGUCGAACGGAGAUUCAGCAAUGGAUCUUAGUGGCGAACGGGUGAGUAACGCGUAGGCAAUCUGCCUUCUAGAUGGGGACAACAUCCCGAAAGGGGUGCUAAUACCGAAUGUUGUAGUUGGUUCGCAUGGACUAGCUACUAAAGGUGGCCUCUGAAUAUGCUACCGCUAGAAGAUGAGCCUGCGUCUGAUUAGCUAGUUGGAGGGGUAACGGCCCACCAAGGCUUCGAUCAGUAGCCGGUCUGAGAGGAUGAACGGCCACACUGGGACUGAGAACCGGCCCAGACUCCUACGGGAGGCAGCAGUGGGGAAUCUUCCGCAAUGGACGAAAGUCUGACGGAGCAACGCCGCGUGAGUGAAGAAGGUUUUCGGAUCGUAAAGCUCUUUCGUUAGGGACGAACGUGCUCUUUGUGAAUAACGAGGAGUAAUGACGGUACCUAAAUAAGAAGCCACGGCUAACUACGUGCCAGCCGCCGCGGUAA